rnacentral:rRNA from 1 species
AUUGAACGCUGGCGGCAGGCUUAACACAUGCAAGUCGAGCGGAGAUGAGGUGCUUGCACCUUAUCUUAGCGGCGGACGGGUGAGUAAUGCUUAGGAAUCUGCCUAUUAGUGGGGGACAACAUUCCGAAAGGAAUGCUAAUACCGCAUACGUCCUACGGGAGAAAGCAGGGGAUCUUCGGACCUUGCGCUAAUAGAUGAGCCUAAGUCGGAUUAGCUAGUUGGUGGGGUAAAGGCCUACAAAGGGGCCGAUCUGUAGCGGGUCUGAGAGGAUGAUCGGCCACACUGGGACUGAGACACGGCCCAGACUCCUACGGGAGGCAGCAGUGGGGAAUAUUGGACAAUGGGCGGAAGCCUGAUCCAGCCAUGCCGCGUGUGUGAAGAAGGCCUUUUGGUUGUAAAGCACUUUAAGCGAGGAGGAGGCUACCUAGAUUAAUACUCUGGGAUAGUGGACGUUACUCGCAGAAUAAGCACCGGCUAACUCUGUGCCAGCCGCCGCGGUAAAAC